rnacentral:tRNA from 1 species
GGGGAUGUAGCUCAGGGGUAGAGCAUCUGCUUUGCACGCAGAGGGUCAAGGGUUCGAUUCCCUUUAUCUCCACCA